GGAGAGGUGGCUGAGUGGCCGAAAGCGGCGCUUUGCUAAAGCGUUGUAGGCGUAAAAACCUACCGGGGGUUCGAAUCCCCCCCUCUCCGCCA
rnacentral:tRNA from 1 species